GGGGAAAUAGCUCAGUUGGUUAGAGUGCUGGUCUGUCACGCUAGAAGUCGCGGGUUCGAACCCCGUUUUCCUCG
rfam:Triticum aestivum genome assembly, contig: Triticum_aestivum_CS42_TGACv1_scaffold_474239_6AL